CAAAAUGUGAUUCCUUGGUGUCGAGGCCUUCGGGCUUCCGCCGGGAUACCAACCCUUUGUGCACUGUAUUGUUUUUUGGGUGCUUCGAAGAGUGAGCAGUCAUUCGAGGAGCGCCCAGUCUAGUUAAACCUCUUAAUCUUUGACUUAUCCUAUAAUGUAAAUUAUAAA
rnacentral:misc_RNA from 1 species